rnacentral:rRNA from 1 species
UUCGUCCAAUUGAAGCAGAGGACAGUGGCGGACGGGUGAGUAACGCGUGAGGAACCUGCCUUGAAGAGGGGGACAACAGUUGGAAACGACUGCUAAUACCGCAUGAAGCAUAGGGGUCGCAUGAUCUUUAUGCCAAAGAUUUAUCGCUGAAAGAUGGCCUCGCGUCUGAUUAGCUAGUUGGUGAGGUAACGGCCCACCAAGGCGACGAUCAGUAGCCGGACUGAGAGGUUGAACGGCCACAUUGGGACUGAGAUACGGCCCAGACUCC